rnacentral:lncRNA from 1 species
GCUCCUCAAUGUUUUUGCUUUGGGCUUAGUCUUUCUAAUUGGUCCUUUGCAUAUAUUUGGUCUCCUUGCAUUGCCUUUUCCAGCAAGGGAGAGGGUUUGUAACUACAGGGAUCAGUGCUGUGCUCUCCUCUAUCAUCCAGCCACCACGUCCUAAGGAGAUUUCCCCGACAAGACCAUCCAAGUUCUAAAGUUGGAAUAUACCCUAAUACUGCGGCCUUUGAAUUCAUUGACUUCCAUGUGCUGAGGGGCAUUGCUGUCCCCACGUGGCCCUAUCUGUGGGGGGAUUUGAAUCGUAGAAUCGUUAAGGUUGGAAAAGACCACUAAGACCAUCCAGUCCAACCAUCAGCCCAUCCCUACUGUGUCCCUCAGUGCCACAUCUCCAUGGUUCUGGAACACCUCCAGGGACAGUGGUUCCAUCAUCUCUCUGAGCAGUUUGUGCCAGUUGAGAAAUGAAGUUCCUUGGGAGACAAGUUUUUGAAGGAUUAUUAGUGUGUGGGAGUGGAUGCUUAGAAUUUGGAAUCAGAGCAAGACAGAGACCAUAGAUGCUGGAAGGUAGAGUAGAGCAAGCUGGCUGAAGCAGUGAUCUCUGCUGCUUCUCCCACUGAUCACCCAUGUGUGGUUUCUGGUCACUUGCAUAAUUCUUGGCUGUCCCAAGGCCCAUAAUUUAUUGCCUGUUAUUAGAUUUU